rnacentral:misc_RNA from 1 species
GAUGAAGAACGUAGCGAAAUGCGAUAAGUAAUGUGAAUUGCAGAAUUCAGUGAAUCAUCGAAUCUUUGAACGCACAUUGCGCCCGCCAGUAUUCUGGCGGGCAUGCCUGUUCGAGCGUCAUUACAACCCUCAGGCCCCCGGGCCUGGCGUUGGGGAUCGGCGGAGCCCCCCGUGGGCACACGCCGUCCCCCAAAUGCAGUGGCGGUCCCGCCGCAGCUUCCAUCGCGUAGUAGCUAACACCUCGCGACUGGAGAGCGGCACGGCCACGCCGUAAAACACCCAACUCUUCUGAAGUUGACCUCGAAUCAGGUAGGAAUACCCGCUGAACUUAAGCAUAUCAAUAAGCGGAGGA